rnacentral:rRNA from 1 species
GACGAACGCUGGCGGCGUGCCUAAUACAUGCAAGUCGAGCGAAGUUUUUCUGGUGCUUGCACCGGAAAAACUUAGCGGCGAACGGGUGAGUAACACGUAAAGAACCUGCCUCAUAGACUGGGACAACUAUUGGAAACGAUAGCUAAUACCGGAUAACAGCAUUAACUGCAUGGUUGAUGUUUAAAAGUUGGUUUUGCUAACACUAUGAGAUGGCUUUGCGGUGCAUUAGCUAGUUGGUGGGGUAAAGGCCUACCAAGGCGACGAUGCAUAGCCGACCUGAGAGGGUGAUCGGCCACACUGGGACUGAGACACGGCCCAGACUCCUACGGGAGGCAGCAGUAGGGAAUCUUCCGCAAUGGGCGAAAGCCUGACGGAGCAACGCCGCGUGAGUGAAGAAGGAUUUCGGUUCGUAAAGCUCUGUUGUUAGGGAAGAAUGAUUGUGUAGUAACUAUACACAGUGGAGACGGUACCUAACCAGAAAGCCACGGCUAACUACGUG